GGGAAAUGAAAAUCUGCCAGGUUUAGGAUUUUACUGUUUUCCUUUGUGUCUUCACRUUCAGCCUGAGUUGCAUUUCCCUAUUUACCUGUUCUCUGGCCCUUUAAGGUGAAGCAGGCAGGGGAGAAAGGGUGUUGCUGCUGGGGUGGCUGGCUGCUAGCUGUUUCCUAUAGGCUCAUGUUUCUUCUAGCUGGCCACCCGGAGAAUAGCUGGGAGACGUCGGAUCGCGUGCUGUCCUGCACACGCUGUCGCCAGUUGACUUCCCCGAAAACAGGCUGCCUGUGCAGGGAGCAGAGCUCACGCAGCAGAGCAUCGGCCCCUUCCUCCUGAAUGGACGCUUUGGUUAACAGGGAGCUUCAGGAUGGCUCUGAAAUCCCCCAGAAUAACACCCCCACGCCCCCAUAACGGGCACCACGAGGACACCUCCUGGUGUCACCAAGGCGUGAUAAAACCAGUGAACCCUCUCGGCCAUGCAGCCCGUCUUUGUGAACAGUGCAGACCCAGACACUGCACCCGUGGGAUGCAGAGGUGGUGUAUGGAGCCGGGUCCUCUCUUCCCGAGCGCUGCGCAGGUACAGAGCGCUUUGCUGGUUGCGUAUGAGCAUUUCAGGGCUGGGGCUGGAGCGACGGCGUGCAGGACUUGGCACUUCAGAGCACCCCAUGCUCUGGCUGGAAAUGAGCACUCGCAAAUCGAAGCAACGCAUAAAAGUGUAAUUGGGUCCUUGCAAUCUCUCGACCAGCUCCAAAUCCAGGCCGCGCAGGGGCUGCAAGGGACUUUGAGCCCCCGCAACCCAGGGGCUGCAUUUUGUGCAAGUCGGUCUCUGGCAGGGAGACCAGGGGAUGCAAUCCCAAGGGGAGCUUUCCCAUUUGCAUCUAUAUGUUUUCAAUUAUGCCCUGCUCACUUCGCUCCUCUUAUUUAACAAGACACUGUUAUUUAGGGCUUGGCAAUUAAUAGAUUUUCCAUGAGAAUAAUCUCUCUAGCUUCUGAAAAAUCAUGGGGAAAGAAUGAUUCUCAUGUUAAAUGUUCUGGUCAGUAGGGUAACCAGAAUGUUUAAUGUACUAACUUUAGGAUCUGUGCCUUGUUAUAGUAAUAAAAAGAAAAAAUACAAAAUGACA
rnacentral:lncRNA from 1 species